AGUGAACGCUGGCGGCAGGCCUAAUACAUGCAAGUCGAACGGCAGCACAGCAGAGCUUGCUCUGUGGGUGGCGAGUGGCGGACGGGUGAGGAAUACAUGGGAAUCUGCCCAGUCGUGGGGGAUAACGUAGGGAAACUUACGCUAAUACCGCAUGCGCCCUUCGGGGGAAAGCCGGGGACCUUCGGGCCUGGCGCGAUUGGAUGAGCCCAUGUCAGAUUAGCUAGUUGGCGGGGUAAUGGCCCACCAAGGCGACGAUCCGUAGCUGGUCUGAGAGGAUGAUCAGCCACACUGGAACUGAGACACGGUCCAGACUCCUACGGGAGGCAGCAGUAGGGAAUAUUGGACAAUGGGCGCAAGCCUGAUCCAGCCAUGCCGCGUGAGUGAAGAAGGCCCUCGGGUUGUAAAGCUCUUUUGUCCGGAAAGAAAAGCGCCGGGUUAAUACCCUAGUGUCCUGACGGUACCGGAAGAAUAAGCACCGGCUAACUUCGUGCC
rnacentral:rRNA from 1 species